rnacentral:rRNA from 1 species
CAUGCAAGUCGAGCGAUGAAACACCUUCGGGUGUGAAUUAGCGGCGAACGGGUGAGGAACACGUGAAGAAUCUGCCUUCAACUCUGGGAUAACUCCGGGAAACCGGGGCUAAUACCGGAUAUGAGCCUCGAUCGCAUGAUUGGGGCUGGAAAGUUUUUCGGUUGAAGAUGACUUCGCGGCCUAUCAGCUUGUUGGUGAGGUAAUGGCUCACCAAGGCGACGACGGGUAGCCGGCCUGAGAGGGCGACCGGCCACACUGGGACUGAGACACGGCCCAGACUCCUACGGGAGGCAGCAGUGGGGAAUAUUGGGCAAUGGAGGAAACUCUGACCCAGCGACGCCGCGUGAGGGAUGAAGGCCUUCGGGUUGUAAACCUCUUUCAGUAGGGAAGAAGCGAAAGUGACGGUACCUACAGAAGAAGCACCGGCUAACUAUGUGCCAGCAGCCGCGGUAAUACAUAGGGUGCAAGCGUUGUCCGGAAUUAUUGGGCGUAAAGAGCUCGUAGGUGGUUCGAUACGUCGGAUGUGAAAAUCAGGGGCUCAACCCCUGACCUGCAUCCGAUACGGUCGAGCUAGAGUUUGGUAGGGGAGACUGGAAUUCCUGGUGUAGCGGUGGAAUGCGCAGAUAUCAGGAGGAACACCGAUGGCGAAGGCAGGUCUCUGGGCCAAUACUGACACUGAGGAGCGAAAGCGUGNGGAGCGAACAGGAUUAGGUACCCUGGUAGUCCACGCCGUAAACGGUGGGCGCUAGUUGUGCGAACCUUCCACGGUUUGUGCGACGCAGCUAACGCAUUAAGCGCCCCGCCUGGGGAGUACGAUCGCAAGAUUAAAACUCAAAGGAAUUGACGGGGCCCCGCACAAGCAGCGGAGCAUGCGGCUUA